GAUGAACGCUGGCGGCGUGCCUAAUACAUGCAAGUAGAACGCUGAAGCUUGGUGCUUGCACCGAGCGGAUGAGUUGCAAACGGGUGAGUAACGCGUAGGUAACCUGCCUCUUAGCGGGGGAUAACUAUUGGAAACGAUAGCUAAUACCGCAUAAAAGUUGACAUUGCAUGAUGUUGAUUUGAAAGAUGCAAUUGCAUCACUAAGAGAUGGACCUGCGUUGUAUUAGCUAGUUGGUGAAGUAACGGCUCACCAAGGCGACGAUACAUAGCCGACCUGAGAGGGUGAUCGGCCACACUGGGACUGAGACACGGCCCAGACUCCUACGGGAGGCAGCAGUAGGGAAUCUUCGGCAAUGGACGGAAGUCUGACCGAGCAACGCCGCGUGAGUGAAGAAGGGUGUCGGAUCGUAAAGCUCUGUUGUAAGAGAAGAACGAGUGUGAGAGUGGAAAGUUCACACUGUGACGGUAACUUACCAGAAAGGGACGGCUAACUACGUG
rnacentral:rRNA from 1 species